rnacentral:rRNA from 1 species
GCAUAUCAAUAAGCGGAGGAAAAGAAACCAACAGGGAUUGCCUCAGUAACGGCGAGUGAAGCGGCAAGAGCUCAAAUUUGAAAUCUGGCCUCUUUGGGGUCCGAGUUGUAAUUUGCAGAGGAUGCUUCGGGAGCGGUCCCCAUCUAAGUGCCCUGGAACGGGACGUCAUAGAGGGUGAGAAUCCCGUCUGGGAUGGGUGGCCGCGCCCGUGUGAAGCGCCUUCGACGAGUCGAGUUGUUUGGGAAUGCAGCUCUAAGCGGGUGGUAAAUUUCAUCUAAAGCUAAAUACUGGCCGGAGACCGAUAGCGCACAAGUAGAGUGAUCGAAAGAUGAAAAGCACUUUGAAAAGAGAGUUAAAUAGCACGUGAAAUUGUUGAAAGGGAAGCGUUGUCCACCAGACUCGCCCGGGAGGGUUCAGCUGGCACUUGUGCCGGUGUACUCCCUUCCGGGCGGGCCAGCAUCGGUUUGGGCGGCCGCUAAAAGGCCUCGGGAAUGUAGCACCCUCCGGGGUGCCUUAUAGCCCGAGGUGACAUGCGACCUGCCUGGACCGAGGUUCGCGCUUCGGCGAGGAUGCUGGCGUAAUGGUGGUCAACGGCCCGUCUUGAAACACGGACCAAGGAGUCUAACAUCUAUGCGAGUGUUCGGGUGUCAAACCCGUCCGCGCAGUGAAAGCGAACGGAGGUGGGAACCCUUUGGGUGCACCAUCGACCGAUCCUGAAGUCUUCGGAUGGAUUUGAGUAAGAGCAUAGCUGUUGGGACCCGAAAGAUGGUGAACUAUGCCUGAAUAGGGCGAAGCCAGAGGAAACUCUGGUGGAGGCUCGCAGCGGUUCUGACGUGCAAAUCGAUCGUCAAAUUUGGGUAUAGGGGCGAAAGACUAAUCGAACCAUCUGGUAGCUGGGUUCCUGCCGAAG